GCCGGGAUAGCAAAGCUUGGUCAAAUGCGGAGGACUUAAGAUCCUUUCCCUUAGUGGGUUCGCAGGUUCAACUCCUGCUCCCGGCA
rnacentral:tRNA from 1 species